UCUGGACAGGUUGCUAUGCUAUUUUAUUGAUGAAAUACAGUGUAAUGUGUUAUCAACUGGUGCCGCUACUAUUGGCUAAGCCGGUAAUUGUAACUUGUGCACCAUCUGUCCUCUUCUAUGAGGUCUCUCCGGUGAUGACAUAUUUCUCUAUACCCCAAAAUCUUGGAGAGUCCAACUUAUUUUCUAAUCUACCAUGUUGUGUGGAGACAGGAACGCAUUGUGACAACAUUCCCAGUUGUGAAUUACGACUAUAAGGUAAACGGAAUGUAGUAUUAAUUAUGGGGUCACACCCCCUAGUACUCGAUUGUGGUUGUUUUCUCUAUGCCUUUUGAUAUUAGUAAGUGCAUCAUUGGUUCUCUAAGGCUGCCUUGAAAAAUAGAGAUUUGUUGUUGUUUUUGCUGCACCAUGAAUGGGCAGCGAGAGAACAAUCAGCAUUUUGGGUUCAAGUUGUCGCAGUAAGUUUAUGUAGGAGAUGCAAAGAGGCUGUAGUAGUAAUGGUGUGUGAAGACUUCACAGAAAAAUAUACUGCAAACAAGGUUAGACAAAAAGACAAAAAUAGCCUCUGAUGCCCCCAGUUUAUUAAAAAAAUUUUUUAAAAAUACAACGUACCACUAAUUUCUUUAUGUAUACAUCUUUAACAAGUCUCUUACACAAUAAAAUCAAAGCCCAAAUACACAGGAUACUUCGUGCAUGUUGUUCAAACAUAAGACUGAACUGCAGACGUGUCUGUUUCUUUACUACACAACACUGACAAAAUAAGACGGGACAUACACACACACACAGACCAUGGACUGUGUGUGUGUGUGUGUGUGUGUGUGUGGGGGGGGGGGGGGGGGGGGUCUGAAAAACUACACAUAACUUUGAACAGAUCUGAAUUGAUGAUCAUCUCUGAGGAAGAACAUAUUCUGCAGAAAACAAAACCUGCUUGACAGACAUGAAAGCCCUUUAUGCAGAGAACAGCUCGGCGUUCAGAAGAACAAGGCACUGCAAUAUAAAUACAUUUCUAUUCAUCAUGAUAUCUCUAAAUAGAAUAUCUAAGGAAAUGUACCUGUAGCAGGAGUGAGAGAGCGAGAACUGUCUGUGAGCGUCAAUCGUCCAGGCAACAGUCAGCGCUGACUGGAUUUCUAUUUAUAUUUUUUCCUGAUUGUGUCAAUUUAACAGUUAAAAUGUCUGAAAAGAUAUCAAACUACACAGAACGUGUUGUUCAUGUUAACUCAGACACCAGUAACAUAAUAACACAUAAAUCACAGCUCUCUCACAGUUACUGCCAAAUGCAAAAUGAAGAAAAAAAAAAAAAAAAAAAGACAAAAAUGGCCCCACCCUCUGGAG